rnacentral:rRNA from 1 species
UUCCGGUUGAUCCUGCCGGACCUGACUGCUAUCGGAUUGAUACUAAGCCAUGCGAGUCAUUGUAGCAAUACAAGGCAGACGGCUCAGUAACGCGUAGUCAAUCUACCCUAUGGACGGGAAUAACCUCGGGAAACUGAGAAUAAUGCCCGAUAGAACAUUAUGCCUGGAAUGGUUUAUGUUUCAAAUGAUUUAUCGCCAUAGGAUGGGACUGCGGCCUAUCAGUUUGUUGGUGAGGUAAUGGCCCACCAAGACUAUUACAGGUACGGGCUCUGAGAGGAGUAGCCCGGAGAUGGGUACUGAGACACGGACCCAGGCCCUAUGGGGCGCAGCAGGCGAGAAAACUUUGCAAUGUGCGAAAGCACGACAAGGUUAAUCCGAGUGGUUUCUGCUAAAGAAACCUUUUGUCAGUCCUAGAAACACUAACGAAUAAGGGGUGGGCAAGUUCUGGUGUCAGCCGCCGCGGUAAAACCAGCACCUCAAGUGGUCAGGAUGAUUAUUGGGCCUAAAGCAUCCGUAGCUCGUUUUGUAAGUUUUCGGUUAAAUCCAUGCGCUUAACGUAUGGGCUGCGGGGAAUACUGCAUAACUAGGAAGUGGGAGAGGUAGACGGUACUCGGGAGGAAGGGGUAAAAUCCUUUGAUCUCUUGAUGACCACCUGUGGCGAAGGCGGUCUACCAGAACACGUUCGACGGUGAGGGAUGAAAGCUGGGGGAGCAAACCGGAUUAGAUACCCGGGUAGUCCCAGCUGUAAACUAUGCAAACUCAGUGAUGCAUUGGCUUAUGGCCAAUGCAGUGCUGCAGGGAAGCCGUUAAGUUUGCCGCCUGGGAAGUACGUACGCAAGUAUGAAACUUAAAGGAAUUGGCGGGGGAGCACCACAAGGGGUGCAGCCUGCGGUUCAAUUGGAUUCAACGCCGGAAC